UACGGGGGGGGCAAGCGUUGUUCGGAAUUACUGGGCGUAAAGGGCGCGUAGGCGGUUCGCUAAGUUGAAUGUGAAAACUCUGGGCUUAACCCAGAGCCUGCAUUCAAUACUGGCGGGCUAGAGUUCUGGAGGGGAUAGCGGAAUUUCCGGUGUAGCGGUGAAAUGCGUAGAUAUCGGAAGGAACACCAGUGGCGAAAGCGGCUUCCUGGUCCAGCACCGACGUUCAGGCACGAAAGCGUGGGGAGCAAACAGG
rnacentral:rRNA from 1 species